rnacentral:hammerhead_ribozyme from 1 species
AUUCAACUGACGAGUCCCGAAUAGGACGAAACACGUGUCCUAGAU